ensembl:snRNA U1 U1 spliceosomal RNA
AUACUUAUCUGGAAAUGGAGAUACCAUAAUCAUGAAGGUAGUUUUUCCAGGGUGAGGCUUAUCCAUUGAACUCUGGGUGUGCUGACCCCUGUGAUUUCCCCAAAUGUGGGAAACUCUAAUGCACAAUUUGUGGUGGUGGUGGAGGACUGUGUUCCUACUCUCCCCGG